UACGGGGGGGGCAAGCGUUGUUCGGAAUUACUGGGCGUAAAGGGCUUGUAGGUGGCCAACUAAGUCAGACGUGAAAUCCCUCGGCUUAACCGGGGAACUGCGUCUGAUACUGGAUGGCUUGAGUGUGGGAGAGGGAUGCGGAAUUCCAGGUGUAGCGGUGAAAUGCGUAGAUAUCUGGAGGAACACCGGUGGCGAAGGCGGCAUCCUGGACCAUUACUGACACUGACAAGCGAAAGCCAGGGGAGCAAACGGG
rnacentral:rRNA from 1 species